CCAGCAACCCCGUUGUAUCGGAUGGUUGCUUUAUAAUAUAAAGCGGGGGAAACCCCUUUUUCUUACAAUUGAUAUAUGCCCAGUUCUAUUUAGGGUUCAUGUUUGAAGUGUAAUUUGCUGUCUGACACAAUCCAACGCAAUCCACGGGUGGCUCUCUCUGUCUGUCACCGUCUGGUCUGAUAUAGGCGCAGGCAGGUGAACAUUUUGAUUAUUGAGAACACAGAAAUGUCAGCACACAGCUGAGUCUUAAACACUCGUCGUAGCGAAUUUCUCCUUGCACAAGCAGCACGAGCACAAGCAAAUCAAGUCAGCACACACGCACGCACAUAUAAGCUUCUUUCAGAAGAAGCUUAUAACCAGUACUAAUUUUACAUCACAGCGGGCUUCAGUAGCAGGCUGGCAGUUGGAAUAGAAGCAGCCUGACACCUCAUGGCGACCAAACAAAGCGAACUAAACACUGAACAGCUACCAUAAUCCAAAUUAUAGAUUUUCACCUAGCAAUCUAGAGUUCCAUCUCAGGUCGCGUGCUUGUCGUCCUUGAGAUGGCGCACCUUCUCCUUCUCCUUCCACCUAGCAAUUUUUGUUGUUUUUAAACUAUAUGAAAGCACUCAACAGAAAUAAAUGACUCUCUAAAACUUUCGGGUUGUCUCUCUGGCAGCGCUUUCUUUAAAGCCAUUAAGCUAGGCAUAUAGUGCUUAAAUAAUGGAUCCACCCGGAUCCCAAGGUAUAUCAAAGCCAAUUUUAAUUAGCAAUGAUUUGUAAUUUAGCAGUGAGCACAAAGUAACAUAUAUCAUGCAACAACGAAGUCUAACUCUCUUCCUAUGCAUCGACAUGUCAUAAAAGAACAAUUCAUGUACACAUAGUAAAGGCCAAUGCAUAGUAUAAACAAUUUCUUGCAAUUUUAUUGUAUUGGAAAUAUAGAGAGGUGGAGAUAUAGUUCCUCUCUCAUAAUAAUUGCAAGUAGGAGCAGCAAGCACAUGCAUAUUAUACUCAUCAAAAUCAUCAUGUGUAGUAGUAAAAGACAACCCAUCAAUAUAAUCCUUAUAAGGGCAAACUUCUCCGAUAUAGUGUAGUUGGGAGAAUUCAAAAAGAUAAUAGGACUAUCAUGCGUGGGUGCAAUAGCAACAAUUUCAUGUUUAACAUAAGGAACUAUAGCAAGUUCAUCUCCAUAAGCAUAAUUCAUAUUGGCAUCCUGGCCACAAGCAUAGCUAGCAUCAUCAAAAAGGGAUAUUUCCAGAGAAUCAACGGGAUCAUAACAAUCACCAUAGCAAUCAUCCUUCGGUAAGCACGAAGGGAAAUUAAACAAUGCAUGAGUUGGAAAGUUACUCUCAUUAGAAGGUGGGCACGGGUAGCUAAUCCGCUCUUCCUCCUUUUGUUCUCCGCUCUCCUCAUCAUCUUUUUCAUCCAAGGAGCUCACAGUUUCAUCAAUUUCUUCUUCCAUAGAUUCCUGCAAAAUAUUAGUCUCUUCUGGGACAACGGAGUAGUCCUCAAUAUAUGGUUCAACAUAAGCAUUGAAGCAUAAUUAUCAUAGCAAUAUUUAAGUAUGUCAAAAUUUUCAGAUUUGUAAAGAAUAGCAUCAUACGUUUCAAUCAAAAAAGCAAUUUCAUAAGCACCCUUAAAAGCAAUAAAUUCUUUAAUUUGUUGAACAUCAUAGUAAAUAUAAACACCCUUGGCAUACGAAGAUACAAUUCCAUUAUCAAUAAACUCACAUUGGUAGGAAAGGUGUUUCUUAGGGUUUUCAGAACAACAAAUAAUAUCAUAUAUUUCACAUAAAUUCCAAGCAUAGCAUUGCAAACGAUGAAUUUGACCCAGUAAAAGUUUCCCUUUUUCAGAUAUACGGUGUCGCACAUAACAAGCAUGCUCAUCUAAAGAUUUGCCCUCAACUAAGCUAGUUGGGGUUUCAGCACGAGCACAUAGGGAUCAAAGAUGAUUCAAGUAAUAAACUUCAGGAGUGUGGUAGAUUUUGAGUGGUUCUUCAACCAUUGGUUCAGUAGGUACAACUAAUUUUUUUGGUAUUUUGCGUUUCCUACCCAUAACUAAAGAUAGAAAACAAUUAAGAACAGCAAAUAAAAAUUACUUAGUGAUAAAGCAAGCAAGCACACACGAGAAUAUUCACCCCAUGCUAUUGCUCCCCGGCAACGGCACCAGAAAAAGGUCUUGAUAACCCACAAGUAUAUAGGGGAUCGCAACAGUUUUCGAUAAGUAAGACUGUCGAACCCAACGAGGAGCUAAAGGCAGAACAAAUAUUUCCUCAAGUUCUAUCGACCACCGAUACAACUCUACGCACGCUUGAUGUUCGCUUUACCUAGAACAAGUAUGAAACUAGAAGUACUUUGUAGGUGUUUUUGGAUAGGUUUGCAAGAUAAUAAAGAGCAUGUAAAUAAAAAGUAGGGGCUGUUUAGGUAAAGACACAACUAGGUUAGUUUUAAUAUAGAGCUUUUUGUUACGAGAAAGUUAUUUGUUCCUAAGCAAUAGAUAACUAGACCGGUAAUCAUUAUUGCAAUUUUAUAUGAGGGAGAGGCAUAAACUAACAUACUCUCUCUACUUGGAUCAUAUGCACUUAUGAUUGGAACUCUAGCAAGCAUCCGCAACUACUAAAGUUCAUUAAGGUAAAACCCAACCAUAGCAUUAAAGCAUCAAGUCCUCUUUAUCCCAUACGCAACAAUCCCCUUACUCGGGUUUGUGUUUCAGUCACUCACGCAACCCACUAUAAGCGAAUCAUGAACGUAUUGCAACACCCUACAACGGGGAUCCCUCACGCUUGCACGACACGGAGAGCACCAUAGGACAGCACCAAUAGAAAAACAUGCAACUCAAACCAAUCACGAUCAUCAAAUAACCCAUAGGACAAAACGGAUCUACUCAAACAUCAUAGAAUAACCAUACAUCAUUGAGAAAUAAUAUAUAGCGUUGAGCACCAUAUUUAAGUAGAGAUUACAACGGGUAAAAGAGGGGUUACACCACUGCAUAGAGGGAGGAAUAGUUGGUGAUGAUGGCGGUGAAGUUGUUGGUGAAGAUUGCGGUGAUGAUGAUGGUCCCCGGUGGCACUCCGGUGCCACCGGAAGCGAGGGGGAGAGAGCCCCCCUCCUUCUUCUUCUUCCUUGACCUCCUCCCUAGAUGGGAGAAGGGUUUUCCCUCUGGUCCAUGGCUCCAUGGCGUGGGAGGGGCGAGAGCCCCUCCGAGAUUGGAUCUGUCUUCUCUGUUUUUGCGUUCUCAAAUUCUACCCUUUCAUCGUUUCUUAUAUUGCCGGAGAUCCAUAACUCCGAUUGGGCUGAAAUUUUAACACGAUCUCUAUCCGGAUAUUAGUUUUCUUACGGCGAAAGAAGGGCAUCAACCGCCUUACGGGGUGGCCACGAGGGUCAGGGGCGCGCCCCUGCCUCGUGGCCCCCUCGAGUAUCGUCUCGCGUGGAUUUUUCUUCACAAAAAUCAUAUGUAUUCCAAAAAAAAUCUCCGUCAAUUUUUAUUCCGUUUGGACUCCGUUUAAUAUGGAUAUUCUGUGAAACAAAAAAACAUGCAACAAACAGGAACUGACACUGGACACUGGAUCAAUAUGUUAGUCCCAAAAAUAGUAUAAAAUUGCCAAAAAUAUAUAAAAGUUGUAGAAUAUUGGCAUGGAACAAUCAAAAAUUAUAGAUACAACGGAGACGUAUUAGGGCAGGCCGGUGCUUCGGCGCACGGUGGCGCGACUCUGAUGGAGAUGGCGCGGCGUCGGGGGUUGCGGGCGGUGGCGGCCUCGUCGGCCGAUGUGCUGCAGCAUGAUGACAGGGGUUGUCCGGAUCCUUCGAGGUCCGGCCAGGCCUAUGCGGGCCUGAUAAGCUCCUGUCGUCCCAUCCGGUCGGCUCCACGACAGCGAUGGUGGUAGUCCCCACCCGUCGACUGAGUGGCGAAUGCCCCCGAGCCCGUUGGCUCUUCGUCCCUUUCCCAGGUCUCGUGUCGGUGGCUCAGAGAGGCGGCAUUGAUGGUUCGAUGACCGUGAUGGCACAUGUUGAUGGGCGGCAGUUUUGAUGGUGCACUUCUGAUUGUUUGGGGUGGUGGUGGUCGUUUGGGUGGGAGAAAUCCCUGGUGGCUCGUCCAUCAUCAACGCGAUGACACCGUCAUACCUUCCCUUCCCAUUGCCCUCUACGUACAGAAAGAAAAACCCUUGGACUUGUUCGGACAACAAUGGCGUCGUUGUCGCAUUCCUUCCUGAAGAUGCUGCCCAGUACGUGACGCCUCGACCUUCCCUUCCCAUUGCCCUCUACGUACAGAAAGAGAAACCCUUGAACUUGUUCGGACAACAAUGGCGUCGUUGUCGCAUUCCUUCCUGAAGAUGCUGCCCAGUACGUGACGCCUCGAAGUGCUAGAAGCGCGGCUGCAGUGGCGUCAUCGUCACAUUCCUUCCUGAAGGUACUGCUCAGUGACAUUCCUUCCUUCCUGAAGGUACUACUGCUCAGUACGCGAUGCCUCGAGGUGCUAGAAGUACGGUGGUACUGGUACUUCUUCGGAGGAUGCAGCGGUUACGCACCCGGCCAUCUUUGUUUUGUCGAUAUGUGGUUGUUGGCAUUUAUUUCUCUCUUUAUCUCAUUUUUUUUUCUUUCUUGGAAACCCCUUUUUCUUACAAGGGAUAUAUGCCAGUUCUAUUUAGGGUUCAUGUUUGAAGUGUAAUUUGCUGUCUGACACAAUCCAACGCAAUCCAGGAGAGAGUAGCUCUCUAUGUCCGACACCGUCUGGUCUGAUAUAGGCGCAGGCAGGUGAACAUUUUGAUUAUUGAGAACACAGAAAUGUCAGCACACAGCUGAGCCUUAAACACUCGUCCUAGCGAAUUUCUCCUCGCACACAAGCAGCACGAGCACAAGCAAAUCAAGUCAGCACGCACGCACGCACAUAUAAGCUUCUUGCAGAAUAAGCUUACAACCAGUACUAAUUUCACAUCACAGCGAACUUCAGUAGCAGCCUGACACCUCAUGGCGACCAAACAAAGCGAACUAAACACUGAACAUCUACCAUAAUCCAAAUUAUUGAUUCCCACCUAGCAAUCUAGACUUUCAUCCUAGGUCGCGUGCUUGUCGUCCUUGAGAUGGCGCGCCUUCUCCUUCUCCUUCACCUCCGAUCCCUGCGACUUGUCAUACUCUGCGCACAUGAAAACGCGGAUCAAUUCACCACUCGCACCAUGCCACCAUCACAGAUGCUAGAACCCUAAGAUUGUUCAAAAUACAGAUAAAUAGGUUACCAGGAUGGUUGGGGUGCACUUCGGUCCCAGGGUUGAGCACCGGGUCGUUCUGGCCGUAGACCCCUCCGAACCCCUCCUCGUCCGACCUCGUCGAGUACCCCUCCCCGAACGAGUGGGUCAUCACGUCCCUGCGCCACACCAACACACCGGACACCGUCAAGUUUCCGGCCAACUCCUCAACGGGAGGGGAGGACAAGCUGGUGCAGAGAAAUUUACCCGUGAGCAGUGGUGGUCUUGUGCACGUCGUCGCCCUGCUGUCCCCCCGCCGGCGCGUGGGGCUUGUGCUGCUGCUGCUGCUUGCUCGGGUCCAUGCCGACGCCCUGGUCGCCUGGCACCGGCGCGGCGGCGUUCGACGUCGCGGAGACGCUCCUCCUCCCUACUUGCGCCGCCGCUGCGGGUGCCGCUAGUCCUCCUGCUGCGGCGCCGCCGCCUGUCUUCCCGCCGAACCGGCCGAGCGUGAAGCCGAGUGCUGUGCUGCCGCUGGUAGCGAGCCUGAGCGAGUACAUGAGAGGAAACAGCUCGUCUGAAGACGGCGGUGGCUUCACAGCAUCCGGCUGGGGCGAGGUUAUAAGCGGUGGCUGGUGCUUGCGGUGGCGCGUCGCGAGAGUGGCACGUUGGGAGGUCGCCUCGAAAGCUCGGCGGAUCGUGGCGCGCGCGCACGUCGGGGCCGCUUACACGCGCCGCUCUGGGACUGGUGAAAAGUCUGGCUGUGCCACCGUGACUCGUUGCAUGCGCAGAGCAAAGGAGGCAGGCAAAGGGCAAAGUAUAGGGACGUGUGCGUCUUCCAAAGAAAAAUGGAUCGGGACGCGUUGCUGUUUUCGACUUGGGAGGUUUCAAGACGGUGACACGUCUAGACUUUCCUCGCCAAACAACGAAUGUCACGGUUUUGCCCCCUUUUCUACAAGGGAAACGUUUACAAACAGUGCGCCGGUCGAAGUGUUCGGCCGGUCGUGCGCGUGCGGCUCGAUCUAUUGACGAUCGAAGCCCCUGCUCUAGCCACGCCAUCGCACACGGGGAUCAAACACGUGGAUACUGGGGCCCAGUAAACCUGUGAAUAGUUUGGUUUAGAACCAUAGUUUCAAUUUGGUUUUGCUGUUGGGCUGCUUUGGUUUGGCUGAAAUGGGUUGAGCCCCUAUUAUAAUUUGGUUUGGUGUGGGCUUUUGUAAUUAAUAGAUUGGGUUGGUUUGGUCUGGACGGAGACAAACUGGUCUCAAACCGUUUUAGUCCAUGGAUAAAAAGUCAGCUCCUUAGGCAAGACCAGCGCUAGGUUUGACCUCACCCCGUUAGGCAAGACCAGCGUCAUAUAGCGACCAGUUUGACCUCACCCCGUUAGGCAAGACCAGCGCUAGGUUUAGAUGCAGCCGCCGCCGUCGCAGACGAGCCACAUGAGCAUGCGUCCGCCCUGCCAUCACCGAGAUCUCCGGUGACAAAAGUCAGCUCCUUCAUGCAGAACACGAGGAGCUCAGAGCCGAGGCCUUCGAUGACGCUGUUGACAAUGGAGAUGCACGUUGUUGACAAUGGAGAUGGCAGUGAGCUCGACCUUGCCGAUGUGGCCGACGGAGACGAAGCUGAUGAGGAACUGGAAGACUCCCGUCAGGAUCAUGGCCAGCGUCUCCGCGGCCGGCGCCACCAUCUGCUCUUUCGGUGCACACGCACAGACUACAAGCACACAGCAAGCUAGCCGCUGUUCGUACGUGCCUCGUAUCUUUCGUAGUUCUGUAUGUACAGGUUAAGUUUGGGGUUCAACGUUCCAGUUGCUGCUGAGUGACCCAUGGUUUGAAACUUUGGGUUCAAACUGUAUGUAGAAAAUGGUCUGGAUGGAUUUGGCUUGAAAAUACAUACAGUUUGGGUUGGUUUGGAUUGUAGUUUUUGCAAUUUGGUCUGGUUUGGUUUGAUCGCUGGACCUAUACAUGUAUGGUUUGGCCUGGGUUUAGUUUGGAUUACAAACUAUUACCAGGUUUAGGGCCCAGGCACCGCCCGCGACCCGCUACAUCUCUUCCUUAUCACUUCGUUUAGCUGCGUCUUCCUCCCCCGCUUGUCGCCUCUGGUCUGUGCUGGAUGCACCACUAUCCAUGGCCGCACGCAGCCAUGGGGGCGCUCGUCUCCUUGUCCGCCGCACGCAGCCAUGGGGUGCUCGUCUCCUUUGUCCGCCGCCUGCAGCCAUGGACGCGCUCGUCUCCUUGUCCGCGACAGCUGGUUGCACGCCCUCUCCAUGGCCACCGCAGCCAGGUUCGUUGUCGCCAUGGACAAGCUGCAAUCAGCCACGACAGCGGUGAGUCUGUGCUGAAACCGGUGGGGUAUGCUGGAACCAGGUUUUUUGUUUGCUGGAUCCACUCAUUUGUUUUGCUACAACCCCUUUUUUUUGACGACCAAAAGUGACCCCUCAAGGUCCCCUGAAAGGGGUCACUGUUCGUUAGUGACUCCCCGGAUACUGACAAAACAAUGACAAUUUUCAUUGGGCCAAAAUCACCUGUUACUAUAAACCAGGAGUCCACAGUGACAUGGCCAAAACCGGGCGCUGCUAGGGUGCAACUAAUUAGCGGUACACUUACUAGUAGAAAACAUGGCUUUUUGCUUUGAGCGUGUCAAGCCCAUUAGUCCCGCUUCAAUCAAAAACCGGGACCCAUGGGGGGCAUACGUCCCGGUUCGUGCGCCUAGGGGCCCGGCCGGGCCUCGGGAGGCAUUUGUCCCGGUCUAUGUGGACCCAUUUAUCCCGGUUCUAGGCACGAACUGGGACCAAUGGGCCUCGCUCCUGGCCCACAGCCAUUGAUCCCGGUUCUUGCCUAGAACCGGGACAAAAGGGGGGCCUUUAGUCCCGGUUCCAGUCACGAACCGGGACCAAUGAGUUGCCUAUAUAUACCCCCUCGCCGGCGAGCAGAGCAGUCCACACUGCUCUGUUUUUUUGGCCGGCGAGGGAAGGACAUUUGGAUGCUCUAGCUCAUCUCCUAUGCAUAUGAGGUGUUCGAUGAAAUGCCCGAGCCACGCUAGUUAAGUUUUCUCCUCCCGAAGCUCGACCUCUGAGCUCCAUUUUUCCUGAGAUCUGUCCAGGUUUAGCAGUCCGUCACGCCUCGUCCCCGUCUUCACCGCCGUUGAUCGCACGCGCCGAUCUCGUCGCCGGCACCACCGUGGUGAGCCUCUUGUUCUUAUCUUUUUUCUGAAAGAAAAAAAUUCUUACUUUAGAUAGAUACUUGUCUAAUUUUCUUACUUUUGACACACAUAAUUAUAUAUAAUGCACGCAGAUGAAUCAACAAUGGAUGUACGGCGACAGACACACCUCCGAGUACAAUAAGGGCCUGCAUAAUUUUCUCGAAGUGGCUGAGGCAAACAAGUAGAAUGGUUUUAUGUGUUGUCCAUGCCCUAAUUGUGGGAAUACGAAGUCUUACUCUGACCGGAAAAUCCUUCACACCCACCUGCUUUAUAGGGGUUUCAUGCCACACUAUAAUGUUUGGACGAGGCACGGAGAAAUAGGGGUUAUGAUGGAAGACAGCGAAGAAGAAGAGGACGAUGACAACUAUGUGCCCCCUGAAUACGGUGAUGCUGCAACGGGGGAAGCUGCUGAAGAUUAAGAGGAACCAGACGAUGUGCCCGAUGAUGAUGAUCUCCGCCGGGUCAUUGUCGAUGCAAGAACACAAUGCGAAAGUCAAAAAGAGAAGCUGAAGUUCGAUCGCAUGUUAGUGGAUCACAAAAAAGGGUUGUACCCCAAUUGCGAAGAUGGCAACACAAAGCUCGGUACCGUACUAGAAUUGCUGCAGUGGAAGGCAGAGAAUGCUGUGCCUGACAAAGGAUUUGAGAAGCUACUGAAAAUAUUGAAGAAGAAGCUUCCAAAGGAUAACGAAUUGCCCGAUAGUACGCACGCAACAAAGAAGGUCGUAUGCCCUCUAGGAUUGGAGGUGCAGAAGAUACAUGCAUGCCCUAAUGUCUGCAUCCUCUACCGCGGUGCGUACGAGGAUUUGAACGCAUGCCCGGUAUGCAGUGCAUUGCGGUAUAAGAUCAGACGAGAUGAACCUGGUGAUGUUGACGACGAGCCCCCCAGGAAGAGGGUUCCUGCGAAGGUGAUGUGGUAUGCUCCUAUAAUACCAUGGUUGAAACGUCUGUUCAGAAACGAAGAGCAUGCCAAGUUGAUGUGAUGGCACAGAGAGGGCCGUAAGAAAGACGGGAAGUUGAGAGCACCCGUUGACGAGUCGUAGUGGAGAAAAAUCGAGAGAAAGUACUGGGCUGAGUUUGCAGCUGACCCAAGGAACGUAUGGUUUGGUUUAAGCGCGGAUGGCAUUAAUCCUUUUGGGGAGCAGAGCAGCAAUCACAACACCUGGCCCGUGACUCUAUGUAUGUAUAACCUUCCUUCUUGGAUAUGCAUGAAGUGGAAGUUCAUUAUGAUGCCAGUUCAUCCAAGGCCCUAAGCAACCCGGCAACAACAUUGAUGUGUACCUAAGGCUAUUAGUUGAAGAACUUUUACAGCUGUGGAAUGGAAACGGUGUACAUGUGUGGGAUGAGCACAAACAUGAGGAAUUUAACCUGCACGUGUUGCUGUUUGUAACCAUCAACGAUUGGCCCGCUCUCAGUAACCUUUUAGGACAGACAAAUAAGGGAUACCACGCAUGCACACACUGUUUAGCUGACACCGAAAGUAUAUACCUGGACAAAUACAGGAAGAAUGUGUACCUGGGCCAUCGUCGAUUUCUUCCGACCAACCAUCAAUGUCGAAAGAAAGGCAAGCAUUUCAAAGGCGAGGCAGAUCACCGGAAGAAGCUCGCCAUGCGUACCGCUGAUCACGUACUUGCUAUGGUCAAUGAUUUACAUGUAAUCUUUGGAAAGGGUCCCGGCGGACUAGCUGUUCCGAAUGAUGCUGAGGGAUGCGCACCCAUGUGGAAGAAGAAAACUAUAUUUUGGGACCUACCCUACUGGAAAGUCCUAGAGGCCCGUUCUUCAAUCAAUGUGAUGCACGCGACGAAGAACCUUUGCGUGAACCUCUAGGCUUCUUGGGCAUGUAUGGGAAGACAAAAGAUACACCUGAGGCACGGGAGGACCUGCAACGUUUGCACGAAAAAGACGGCAUGCCUCCAAAGCAGUAUGAAGGUCAAGUCAGCUACGCUCUUACCAAAGAAGAGAAGGAAAUUUUCUUUGAAUGCCUGCUCAGUAUGAAGGUCCCGACUGGCUUCUCGUCGAAUAUAAAGGGAAUAAUAAAUAUGCCAGAGAAAAAGUUCCAGAACCUAAAGUCUCAUGACUGCCACGUGAUUAUGAAGCAACUGCUUCCGGUUGCAUUGAGGGGGCUUCUACCGAAAAACGUCUGAGUAGCCAUUGUGAAGCUAUGUGCAUUCCUCAAUGCAAUCUCUCAGAAGGCGAUCGAUCCAGAAAGCAUACCAAGGCUAAGGAGUGAUGUGGCGCAAUGUCUUGUCAGUUUCAAGCUGGUGUUCCCACCAUCCUUCUUCAAUAUCAUGAAGCACGUCCUAGUUCAUCUAGUCGACGAGAUUGUCAUUCCGGGGUCCGUAUUUCUACACAAUAUGUUCCCCUUUGAGAGGUUCAUGGGAGUCCUAAAGAAAUAUGCCCGUAACCACGCUAGGCCAGAAGGAAGCAUCUCCAUGGGCCAUCAAAUAGAGGAUGUCAUUGGGUUUUGUGUUUACUUCAUUCCUGGUCUUAAGAAGAUAGGUCUCCCUAAAUUGCGGUAUGAGGGGAUUGACUUCAUUCCUGGCCUUAAGAAGAUAGGUCUCCAUAAAUCGCGGUAUGAGGGGAGAAUGACUGGAAAAGGCAUGCAUGGAGGGGACUCAAUAAUAUGCAGGGACGGGCAUUCUUGGUCUCAAGCACACUACACAGUCCUACAGAACUCUACCUUGGUGACCCCGUAUGUCGAUGAACACAAGUACAAUCUGCGCUCCAAACACCCGGAGCAGUGUGACGACUGGAUUACAUAUGAACACAUCAGGACUUUCAGAAGUUGGUUGGAAACACGUCUCAAAGGUGACAACACUGUUUGUGAUGAGCUGUUUGUCCAGGGGACCAUCUUCUACUGUAUUGACUUACAAAGGAUACGAGAUAAAUGGGAAUACAUUUUACACGAUCACCCAAGAUCAAAAGAGCACCAACCAAAACAGCAGUGUCCGCUUUGAUGCAACAACCGAGAGGGGAAAGGACACACAUUAUGGUCAUAUGGGAACUUAACUACGGACAUGAUUUGAAGGUCCCUUUGUUUAAGUGCAAAUGGGUCAAUCUGUCAGGAGGCGGGGUACAGGUAGACCCACCGUACGGAAUGACAACAGUGGAUCUGAACAAUCUUGGGUACACUGACGAACCAUUCGUCCUAGCCAACGGUGUGGCACAGGUUAUCUAUGUGAAGGACAUGUCUACCAAACCGGGAAAAAGAAAAGAUAAGGAAGCGAAUACAUCAUACGAUGAGCCAAAGCGCCACAUAGUUCUUUCAGGAAAAAGGGACAUCGUGGGAGUGGAGGGCAAGACAGCCAUGUCCGAAGAUUAUGAAAAGUUUCAUGAAAUUCCUCCCUUCAAAGUCAAGGCUAACCCAAGCAUCCUGAUAAACGAUGAAGAUUAUCCAUGGUUACGGCGCAAUAAGCAAAUGACACAACCAAAGAAAAAGUGAAGACUUUCUCUCCUAGUUCAUUUGAAAUGCAUGUUGUAAUAGACGAGUUUCUGGCGUUUUGUACACGAAGUGUAUCCAGUUUUUGCCGUAACCCUCUCAACUUUUUAGUACAUUCUAUGUGGGUGAAAUGAUGAUACCAUGCCAACUUCCAACCUUUUCAGAGUUCAUUUGAAAUGCUUUUCAAUUUCAGGAUUUUAUAGCUCAAAAAAAUCAGUAAAUGCAUGAAAAAUAACAAAUGAAGUCAGAAAGGGUUGAAAAUUGAUGAUAUGGUUUUGAAUGGUGCAUUUUGAACACUGAAGAUAAACCUCUAGUAUUACUAAAACUAAAAUUAUAUAAAAUUGACGCAACUAAAAUUAUCAAAGUAUUUUCUAUUCAAAAUCAUUAAAAACAAAAAGAAUUUUCAUAAAUAACUUUUUUGUUACAAACUUUAAUAGCAAAAAGAAUUAUCACAAAAUAAAAUAAAUAAGUAAUUAGAAACAAAAUAAUAUAAAAUUUAAUAAAAUAUAUAAGUAGAAACAAAAUAAAAUAAAAUUUAAUAACAUAAAUAAAAUUUAUGAAACAAAAAAUAUCAAAAUAUUUUCUGUUCAAAACAUUAUAAGCGACCUCUAGUAUUAUUGAAACUAAAAUUAUAUAAAAUUGAUGCAACUAAAAUUAUCAAAGUAUUUUCUGUUCAAAAUCAUUAAAAGCAAAAAUAAUUUUCAUAAAGAUCUUUUUUUGUUAGAAACAUUAAUAGCAAAAAGAAUUAUCAUAAAGUAAAAUAAAUAAGUAUUUAGAAACAAAAUAAAAUAAUGUAAAUAAGUAUUUUAUUGUAAGUAGAAACAAAAAACAAAAUAAAUAAAGCAAAAAAGAAAACAAAAAAUGGGAAAAAAUAAAAAAUAUGCCACCUACUUGGCCACCACGGCCUGAAUACGACUAGAAACCUAUCCAUGGGCCAUGAUUCAGGCCCGCAGAAGGCCCAGUAGGCCCAUCAGGCAUAGUAGUGACAAUUAGGCCUGUAAGCCUGCAAUGGAGAGGAGAUCGAGAGGGGUGCGACAGUGGGACUUAUAAACCACUGCGCGCCCCUCUUAACUAGCAAGGUGGGACUAAACUCCCACCACCACGCCACUAUGCAAGGCCUUGGGUCCCGGUUGGUGGCACCAACUGGGACUAAAGGGGGGAGUUGGUCCCGGUUGGUGCCACCAACCGAUACCAAUGCACCCCUUUAGUGUCGGUUGGUGCCACCAACCGGGACUAAAGGUGGCACUAGUCCCGGUUGUUGUCAUGAACCGGGACCAAUGCUUCGUCUAUAUAACUAGCACUUGUUGUCAUGAACCGGGACCAAUGCUUCGUCUAGUAAACCCUUUGGGUAUUAGUCACAUGGAGAUGUGAACUAAUCACAUAAAGAUAUGAACUAGAUUAUUGACUCUAGUGCAAGUGAGAGACUGAAGGAAAUAUGGCCUAGAGGCAAUAAUAAAGUUAUUAUUUAUUUCCUUAUAUCAUGAUAAAUGUUUAUUAUUCAUGCUAGAAUUGUAUUAACUGGAAACAUGAUACAUGUGUGAAUACAUAGACAAACAGAGUGUCACUAGUAUGCCUCUACUUGACUAGCUCGUUGAUCAAAGAUGGUUAUGUUUCCUAGCCAUAGACAAAGAGUUGUCAUUUGAUUAACGGGAUCACAUCAUUAGGUGAAUGAUGUGAUUGACUUGACCCAUUUCGUUAGCUUAGCACUUGAUCGUUUAGUUUGUUGCUAUUGCUUUCUUCAUGACUUAUACAUGUUCCUAUGACUAUGAGAUUAUGCAACUCCCGUUUACCGGAGGAACACUUUGUGUGCUACCAAACGUCACAACGUAACUGGGUGAUUAUAAAGGUGCUCUACAGGUGUCUUCGAAGGUACUUGUUGGGUUGGCAUAUUUCGAGAUUAUGAUUUGUCACUCCGAUUGUCGGAGAGGUAUCUUUGGGCCCACUCGGUAAUACACAUCACUUAAGCCUGGCAAGCAUUGCAACUAAUGAGUUAGUUGUGGGAUGAUGUAUUUUGGAACGAGUAAAGAGACUUGCCGGUAACGAGAUUGAACUAGGUAUUGAGAUACCGACGAUCGAAUCUCGGACAAGUAACAUACCGAUGACAAAGGGAACAAACAUAUGUUGUUAUGCGGUUUGACCGAUAAAGAUCUUCGUAGAAUAUGUAGGAGCCAAUAUGAUCAUACAGGUUCCGCUAUUGGUUAUUGACCGGAGACAUGUCUCGGUCAUGUCUACAUAGUUCUCGAACCCGUAGGGUCCGCAUGCUUAAAGUUCGAUGGCGGUUAUAUUAUGAGUUUAUGUGUUUUGAUGUACCGAAGGUAGUUCAGAGUCCCAGAUGAGAUCGGGGACAUGACGAGGAGUCUCAAAAUGGUCGAUACGUAAAGAUCGAUAUAUUGGACGACUAUAUUCGGACAUCAAAAAGGUUCUGAGUGAUUCAGGUAUUUUUGGAGUACCGGGGAGUUACGGGAAUUCACCGAGAGAAGUAUUGGGCCUUAUUGGGCCAUACGGGAAUAGAGGAGAGAGGCCAAAAGGAAGGAGGCGCGCGCCCCCCUCUGAUCCGAAUUGGACAAGGGGUGCAGCCCCUUUUUCCUUCUCCCUCUCCCCCUCUUUCCUUCUCUCCUACUCCGGAAAGGAAAGGGGAAUCCUACUAGGACUUGGGAGUCCUAGUAGGACUCCCCACACUUGGCACGCCCCCUCUAGGGCCAACCUCUCCCUCCCUCCUUUAUAUACGUGGCCAGGGGGCAUCCCAUAGACACAAUAAUUGAUCUCUUGGAUCUCUUAGCCGUGUGCGGUGCCCACUCCACCAUAGUCCACAUCGAUAAUAUCAUAGCAGUGCUUAAGCGAAGCCUUGCGUCGGUAGAACAUCAUCAUCGUCACCACACCGUCGUGCUGACAGAACUCUUCCUCAAAGCUCGGCUGUAUCGGAGUUCGAGGGACAUCAUCGAGCUGAACGUGUGCUGAACUCGGAGGUGUCGUACGUUCGGUACUUGAUCGGUCGGAUCAUGAAGACGUACGACUACAUCAACCGCGUUGUGCUAACGCUUCCGCUUUCAGUCUACGAGGGUACGUGGACACACUCUCCCCUCUCAUUGCUAUGCAACACCAUGAUCUUGCGUGUGCGUAGGAUAUUUUUUUUGAAAUUACCACGUUCCCCAACAGUGGCAUCUGAGCCUGGUUUUAUGCGUAGAUGUUAUAUGCACGAGUAGAACACAAGUGAGUUGUGGAUGAUAUAAGUCAUACUGCUUACCGACAUUACGCGUACGCUUACGCGAGACUGGUUCUGCCGACGUGCUUUGCACACAAGUGACUGGCGGGUGUCAGUUUCUCCAACUUUAGUUGAACCAAGUGUGGCUACGCCCGGUCCUUGAGAAGGUUAAAACAGCACUAACUUGACAAACUAUCGUUGUGGUUUUGAUGUGUAGGUAAGAACGGUUCUUGCUCAGCCCAUAGCAGCCACGUAACACUUGCAACAACAAAGUAGAGGACGUCUAACUUGUUUUUGCAGGGCAUGUUGUGAUGUGAUAUGGUCAAGGCAUGAUGCUAUAUUUUAUUGUAUGAGAUGAUCAUGUUUUGUAACCGAGUUAUCGACAACUGGCAGGAGCCAUAUGGUUGUCGCUUUAUUUUAUGCAAUGCAAUCGCAUUGUAAUGCUUUACUUUAUCACUAAGCGGUAGCGAUAGUCGUAGAAGCAUAAGUUGGCAAGACGACAACGAUGCUACGAUGGAGAUCAAAGUGUCACGCCGGUGACAAUGGUGAUCAUGACGGUGCUUCGGAGAUGAAGAUCACAAGCACAAGAUGAUGAUGGCCAUAUCAUAUCACUUAUAUUGAUUGCAUGUGGUGUUUAUCUUUUAUGAAUCUUAUCUUGCUUUGAUUGACGGUAGCAUUAUAAGAUGAUCUCUCACUAAAUUAUCAAGGUAUAAGUGUUCUCCCUGAGUAUGCACAGUUGCAAAAGUUCUUCGUGCUGAGACACCGCGUGAUGAUCGGGUGUGAUAGGCUCUACGUUCAAAUACAACGGGUGCAAAACAGUUGCACACGCAGAAUACUCAGGUUAAACUUGACGAGCCUAGCAUAUGCAGAUAUGGCCUCGGAACACCGAGACCGAAAGGUCGAGCGUGAAUCUUAUAGUAGAUAUGAUCAACAUAGUGAUGUUCACCAUUGAAACUACUCCAUCUCACGUGAUGAUCGAACAUGGUUUAGUUGAUUUGGAUCACGUGAUCACUUAGAGGAUUAGAGGGAUGUCUAUCUAAGUGGGAGUUCUUAAGUAAUAUGAUUAAUUGAACUUUAAUUUAUCAUGAACUUAGUCCUGGUAGUAUUACCAUAUCUAUGUUGUAGAUCAAUAGCUCGCAUUUAGCUCCUUUGUUUUAUUUUUGAUAUGUUCCUAGAGAAAACUAAGUUGAAAAAUGUUAGCAGCAAUGAUGCGGAUUGGAUCCGUGAUCUGAGGAUUAUCCUCAUUGCUGCACAGAAGAAUUAUGUCCUUGAUGCACCGCUAGGUGAUAGACCUAUUGCAGGAGCAGAUGCAGACGUCAUGAACAUUUGGCUAGCUUAAUAUGAUGACUACUUGAUAGUUUAGUGCACCAUGCUUAACAGCUUAGAAUCAGGACUUCAAAGACGUUUUGAACGUCAUGGAUCAUAUGAGAUGUUCCAGGAGUUGAAGUUAAUAUUUCCAGCAAAUACCCGAGUUGAGAGAUAUGAAGUCUCCAACAAGUUCUAUAACUAAAAGAUGGAGGAGAAUAACUCAAGUAGUGAGCAUGUGUUCAGAUUGUCUGGGUACUACAAUCGCUUGAAUCAAGUGGGAGUUAAUCUUCCAGAUAAAAUAGUGAUUGACAGAAUUCUCUAGUCACCAUCACCAAGUUAGUAGAACUUCGUGAUGAACUAUAGUAUGCAAGGGAUGACGAAAAUGAUUCCCGAGCUUUUCAUGAUGAUGAAAUCAAUGAAGGUAGAAAUAAAGAAAGAGCAUCAAGUGUUGAUGAUUAACAAGACCACUAGUUUCAAGAAAGGGGCAAAGGGAAAGAAAGGGAACUUCAAGAGGAACGACAAGCAAGUUGCUGCUCAAGUGAAGAAGCCCAAGUAUGGACCUGAGCCUGAGACUAAGUGUGAAAGGGCAUUUCCCUACUUUAUGUUUUGGAUGAUGAUGACAACCCUUUGUAGGUCUAAUCGUGUGCUAUAUGUUUUAGGUUCUCGAUGCUUAGGCUUACAUCGGAUUGCUAUUGCCUCUCGUAGGAAAAGAUCGAAGACGUGUCCUCUAUGUUUUUAUUUUCUUUGGUCGUAGAGUACCCGUACUAUCAAGAGGGAAUCCUCAUUAGGAAGCUCUAGGGGAAUCUUUUCACGUACACUUUCCUCACCCCUCAUUUGUCUUCCUCAGUUGUGAGAGAGAGUGUUCCCCCUAUCUUUCCCUCUGUUUUCUGCUCUUCCCAGCGGUUGUACCGCCCCCUGGAGCGGUUGUACCGCUGGACCUUGUCGUUCUCCGGCUUUUACCGAGCGGUUGUACCGCUGCCUCCGGGCGGUGGUACCGCCACCUUGCUCAACAAAGGCUAGGGCGGUGGUUCCGGCCAUGCACCGCUCAAGUACCGCUCAAGGUUCUGUUUUGAUGUGGUUCUCGGGCGGUGGUGGCCCGGUUGAUCCGGUCGAUCCUUGUUGACCGGUACCACCGGUGGUCUGAGCGGUUCUUCCGAUCAGAACUUCGCCGACCAAGAGCUCAAGGCCAUGCGGUUGUUCCGGUCUUGCACCGCUCAAGUACCGAUCUCGUCUUUGUUCUGAGGCGGUAGUUGUGCGGUGGCUGGGCGGUUGGUCCGGUCAUUUUUCUUAACCGGUACUACCACCCAGUGGCCCGGUUGUACAGCCUGGUAGGGUUCUGUAGCUACACCGUGAGUCCCGGUUGUACCGGGACAAGGACCGGUUGUACCGCUGCAGGGCUGAAAACGCAGCAACGGCUGGAUUUUUAGGGUUGCUAUAUAAGAGUGUUUCUCCCACCUACCACUCUCACCUUUGACCUCUCUCACUCCACCAUUAAUGCACUUCAAGCUCUCUUGCCCGAUCUCUCUCUCUAGCCACUCAAACUUGUUGAUUUGCUAGGGAUUGAAGGAGGAGACCUAGAUCUACACUUCCACCAAAGGAUAUUUGCUUCCCCCAUACUUUCUUGUGUGGAUUUUGUUACUCUUGGGUGUUUGAGCACCCUAGACGGUUGAGGUCACCUCGGAGCCAUAUACCAUUGUGGUAAAGCUUCGUGGUUUCGUUGGGAGCCUCCAAUUAAGUUGUGGAGAGAGCCCCAACCUUGUUUGUAAAGGUUCGGUCGCCGCCUUCAAGGGCACCAAUAGUGGAAUCACGGCAUCUCGCAUUGUGUGAGGGCGUGAGGAGAAUACGGUGGCCCUAGUGGCUUCUUGGAGAGCAUUGUGCCUCCACACUGCUCCAACGGAGACGUACUUCCUCUCAAAGGGAAGGAAUUUCGGCAACACAUCCUCGUCUCCACCGUCUCCACUCUUGGUUAUCUCGUGCCUUUACUUGUGCAAGCUUAUUUGUAUCAUAUCACUUGCUUGCUUGUGUUCCUAUCCUUGUUGCAUCAUAUAGGUUGUUCACCUAGUUGCAUAUCUAGAUAACCUACUUUGAUGCAAAGUUUAAAUUGUUAAAGAAAAGCUAAAAAUUGUUAGUUGCCUAUUCACCCCCUCUAGUCAACCAUAUCGAUCCUUUCAAUUGGUAUCAGAGCCUCAUCUCUUUAUUAAGGACUUUACCGUCCGAAGAGUAUGGUUGAUACCGUAGACGGUGUGGAGGAACACUCCGGUGCGAAUCCGACCUCGUCUACGGGCGAUGGGGGAACCUCGGUCUCUCGUGAGGAGUUCAAUGCGGCGUUGGAGACAUUGAAAACCUCCAUGACGACCGAGGUUGAAAGCAUGUUUACUAAAUUCCUUGAGGGGCUUAAACUGUCCACCGCACCGUUAAAAGUGGGUGAUCCCACCGACAAGGUGACGGAUGCUAUCUCCGAUAAGGGGGAAGCUAGUAGUGAAAAGGCUCCUUCUUCUAGUGGUAAAAAUGGCAGCGACAUCUUUGCUCAUGUGGAACCACCACUUGUUUAUGGUGGACCGGUUCCCUCCACUAAUUUGAAUCAUGCCGAUCCUCCCCCUAAGAUUGUGAAAAAUGAGGACUUUGAUUCUUGGGUUUACCGCUUUAAACAUCAUUUAAAUCAUGUGAACACUAACCUUUGGAGAAUCAUUGAAGAAGGUUUCUAUCCGCAUGAUCCAAGCAACUUCACUCCUCGAGAAGCCGCGGAUAAUCAAUUCAAUGAGAAUGCUCUCUUCAUCAUUUAAGAUGCAAUUCCACCCGAAGACCUACCUCAUCUUCGUCCCUUCGCCUUGGCCAAAGAUGCAUGGCAUUGUGUUGUCUCUCUCUACCGGGGAAGCGCAAGCAUUCAACGCUCCAACUAUGAAGUGGUACAAGAUGAGGUCGAUGAGUUUGCAAUGAAAGAAGAUGAAGAACCUCGUGAGCUUUGUCGGAGAGUAACCAAACUCGCGGUCUCACUAUGAGAUCACGGGAGCAAGGACACGGAUGACAAUUGGAUCAAGCGCAAAUUCCUCAAGGCAAUGAUGCCCUAUCACAAGGCCAUGUCCUCCGUCAUUCAUUAAAGACCGGACUUCCACACUUUGACCUCAAGCGAAGUGUUGGAUGAGUUUGUGGCCAUGAACAUUUUGGACAAGACCGCCGACAAUGCGGUGCUUCGUUCUCAAAGGGCAAAGAAGCCGAACCUUGCAUUGAAGGCCAAGCUGUCCAUUGAAGAAGAAGAAGAGGAAGAAGAGGAGAGCAACCCUGAGGAUACAAAGUAUGCAUAUCAUGAACACAUGGCACUCGCUUCAAGGCAAUUUUGGAGCAAGAAAAACUCGAGGCCAAACUUUAGCAAAAAUAACUCAAGUGGCACGAAGAGCAAGCAACAUGUAAGAACUUGCUACAAUUGUGGCAACGUGAGUCAUUUUAUUGCGAAAUGCCCGUAUGAGAAGAGGGAAUACAAUGGUGGCAAGCUCAUCCGAAAGGACAAGGCCAAGUCGUUCCCCAACAAGAGCAACUUCACCAAGAAGACUCCUCCCAAGGCAUUGGUGGUACAAGAAGAGUACAAUGAGGAUGAUGACGAUGAUGAAGGUGAUGAGUCGGUUGCCAUGGCCUCCGUUGCCAUUACGAUGACUCCACGGGUGUCUCUCUUCGACUCACCCAGUGAGAGCAUCACCGCCAAGUGCCUCAUGGCUAAAGCCACCAACAAGAUAACCCCCAACAUAAAAACUACCAUCAUUAACCAUCCUUCUCCGACGGAUAGCAUUAAUGAACUUGAGGGAACUAAUGUGGAGGAGAAUGAGUUUGAUACCUUUAUGGGUAAACUCAAGGGCAAGUCCAAGAAGCACUUUGUUGCUCUCUUGGAACAACUUGGUGAAGCCAAUGACAUGAUCGACGCUCACGAAGAUACCAUCUCUAAGAUGGAAGGGCAUAGCCGUGACUAUGCCGAUGAGAUUUCAGAUCUUUCCAAUGCUUUUGAGGAAGAGCGUGGUCUUCGUUUGGCUCUUGAGGAGUCACACAACGAAGAUCAUGCUAAAUUAAAGAAAGAUCUUGAUCAUGCUCUUGUUGUUUCUCGUGUGCUAAAUUCCAAGAAGGCUGAACUUGGGGUUGAUCUUGCUAGACUCAAAGAGGGGUUUGAUAUACUUGACAAGGCCCACAAGGCCUUUAAGGGUAUUCACGCUAGUCUCAAGGAGUCUCAUGAUCAACUCCAAGUGAAGCUAACUAAGGAGAAAGCCACAUUUCCUCAUAUGGUUUUAAUUGAUAAUGCAAAUGCUACUAACUCGUGUUGUGAGCAUAUACAUCUUGUUGAGGAAAAUGCUAAGUUGAAGGAGCAGCUUGAGAAAGGCCUUGUGUCAUGUAUACAAGGUGAGAAGAACCUCAACAACCUUUUGAGUAGUCAAAAGGAAGUCGUGGCCAAGGAAGGGAUUGGGUACGCACCCAAGCCCAAGAACAAGAAGAAGAAUGACAAGGCCAAACGACCUCCCCCUCUCAAGCAAACUUUUGUGAAGGAGGGAGAGGAUGCAUCCAAGGAGAAGAAGAACGAUGCGAAGGGUGGCGGUGCUGACAAGGGCAAUGCCACCCCUCCAAACAAAGCCGACGACUUUAAUCCUUCUUAUGUGUUAUGCCGUGCUAGUGAUGGGCAUGUUUAUGCCAAAUUUGUUGGUUCUCCCCAUGAAUACAUUGAAUGGUCUAUUUGGGUUCCUAAGACCCUUGUUACUAACAUCAAAGGACCCAUUACAAAAUGGGUACCUAAAACCAAGCAUUAAUCUCUUGUAGGUGUUUGCUUCCGGUGGGGGAUCAUGGUUGCUCGAUAGUGGAGCUACAAAUCAUAUGACUGGAAUCAAGGACUUGGUGGUGGACGUGCACAAGAUUUCCUUUAUGCCCACCAAUGUCGAAUGGGGUGAUGCCUCGUCCUCUAAGGUAUUGGGACUCGACAAGGUUGCCAUUUCUCAUGAUCUCACGAUCGAGAAGGUCAUGCUUGUAGAGUCCCUUGCAUACAAUUUACUUUCCGUUAGUCAACUUGCAAUCAUGGGCUUUGCCACCUUAUUUGAUAUUGAUACCGUGGCCCUCUUGUGGAGCAAGACUCUUAAAGUAGCCUUUGUUGGGCAUGUCGAGAACGGUCUAUAUGUGAUUAACUUUUCAGAGCGACCCACUAAGACCGCGACAUGCCUAAUGGCUAAAGUUGAUGUGGGAUGGCUUUGGCAUCGCCGUCUAGCCUAUGUCAAUAUGAGAUCCUUGCAAAGUCUUCUCAAGGGGGACCAUGUCCGUGGACUAACAAAUGUUAGUUUUGCUAAAGAUCGUGCUUGCAGUGCUUGUAUCGAAGGAAAGCUACAUGAGAAGGCUCACCCUCCCACGACUAUCAUAUACUCAAAGAGGCCUUUGGAGCUCCUUCACAUGGAUCUCUUUGGGCCUCCAUCCUUAGAUAGUCUUGGGGGUAGGAAGUAUUGCUUGGUGAUUGUGGAUGACUACUCAAGAUACACUUGGGUGUAUUUCUUCAAGAGGAAGAGCGAGACCCAACAAACCGUCAUUGACUUUGCAAAUGAAGCACAACGUCAACACAAUGCAAAGAUCUUGACAAUAAGAAGUGAUAACGGCACCAAGUUCAAGAACUACACCUUGGAUGAGUUUCUUAGUGAUGAGGGGAUCAAGCAUCAAUACUCUGCACCUUACACCCUCAACAAAACGGUGUUGCGGAGAGGAAGAAUCGGACGUUGAUGGAUGCGGCAAGGACCAUGAUGGCGGAGUUCAAGUCUCCGUACAACUUUUGGACCGAAGCCAUCAACACCGCGUGUCACACAUCCAAUCGGCUCUACCUCCGCACGGGCUUGAACAAGACUCCAUAUGAUAUACUCACUGGUAACAAGCCCAACCUCAAGUACUUCCGGGUGUUCGGGUGUAAGUGUUUCAUUCUCAAGAAAGGUGUUCGAUUGUCUAAAUUUGAGGCUAGAGCUUAUGAGGGCAUAUUUGUUGGUUAUGCUACAAACUCUCAUGCUUACCGUGUCCUCGAUAAAUCCACGGGACUUAUUGAGGAGACGUGUAACGUGGAGUUUGAUGAGAAUAACGGCUCCCAAGUGGAGCAAAGUGGCACUUGUGUUGUAGGUGAUGAAAUUCCUCCCCAAGCCAUAAGAAGAAUGGGUGUUGGCUUUAUCCUACCCAUUGAGGAACCCCUUGUGGCCGAAGGAGAAGGACAAAGCUCCACUCAAGUGGAGCCAUCACCAACCCAAGGCCCACACGCUUCUGAAGAACAACGUGAAGGUCCUCAUCCUCGAGAACAUGACCAAGGGCAAGAUCAUGCUCAAGACGGUGUUGACACGUCAAGUGAUGCUCAAGGUCAAGUUCUCUAUUCGAGCAAGUUCAAGAACAAGAACAAGCUCAAGACGACGCUCAAGAUGAUCAAGUGACCACUCCUCAUCUCACUCCCGAGGAGGAAUUAGAGCGUCGUGCCGCCAAGGUUGCUUCCAAGCUCUCCACCAAGGAUCAUCUCAUGACGAAUGUGCUUGGAAGCUUAAGAAAGGGGGUAAGCACUCAUAUACAAUUGGCAAAUUAUUGUGAGCAUCGCGCGUUUGUCUCUUGUGCGGAACCCCACAAGGUCUAUGAGGCGCUAGAAGAUCCGGAUUGGCUCAAUGUCAUGCAUGAAGAACUCAACAACUUCGAGUGCAACAAAGUGUGGAGAUUGGUACCAAGACCGACGGAGAACCACAAUGUCAUUGGAACCAAGUGGAUAUUUAAGAACAAGCAAGAUGCCCAUGGGAUUAUCAUUCGCAACAAGGCUCGUUUGGUAGCACAAGGCUACUCCCAAGUCGAGGGUAUCGACUACGGUGAAACCUUUUCUCCCGUUGCUCGUCUUGAAUCCAUUCGCAUGUUGAUUGCAUAUGCUUCUCAUCAUAACUUUAAGUUACAACAAAUGGAUGCGAAGAGUGCUUUUCUUAAUGGUCCCACUAAUGAAUUGGUUUAUGUCAAGCAACCCCCCGGGUUCGAGGAUCCCUACUUUCCCGAUCAUGUGUAUCAACUCGAUAAGGCACUCUAUGGCCUUAAACAAGCCCCACGUGUGUGGUAUGACCACCUUACCGAGUUGUUACAAGACCGUGCUUUUGAAGUUGGGCUGAUCGACCCCACUCUUUUUACUAAGAAGGUCAAAGGGGAGUUGUUUGUGUGCCAACUAUAUGUUGAUGAUAUUAUCUUUGGUUCCCCUAACAAAACUUUCAAUGAGGAAUUUGCCGCUCUCAUGACCUCAAAGUUCGAGAUGUCUUCCAUGGGAGAGUUAAAGUUCUUUCUAGGGUUCGAGGUGAAGCAAAGAAGAGAAGGAACCUUCAUUAACCAAGCCAAAUAUACUCAAGACAUGCUCAAGAGAUUCAAGCUAAGUGAUGUCAAGCCGGCUUCCACUCCAAUGCCCACCAAGUGCCAACUUGACAUAUAUCCCAAUGGUAAAGCGGUGGAUCAAAAGGUAUAUCGCUCCAUGAUAGGUUCCUUGCUUUACCUUUGUGCAUCUAGACCGGAUAUCAUGUUGAGUGUGGGAAUUUGUGCAUGGUUUCAAGCCGCACCUCAGGAAAGUCACUAUGUGGCGGUCAAACUAAUCUUUCAAUAUUUGGCUCAUACCCCAAACUUUGGCCUAUGGUACCCAAGAGGAGCAAACUUCAAGCUUGUAGGGUAUUCGGAUUCCGAUUGGGCGGGAGACAAAGUGGAUAGGAAGUCCAUUUCCAGAGGGUGCCAAUUCCUUGGUUGCUCUUUGGUAAGUUGGUCUUCCAAAAAGCAAAGUUGUGUGUCUCUCUCGUCCACCGAAUCGGAGUAUGUGGUGACCGGUAGUUGUUGUGCACAACUCUUAUGGAUGAGGCAAACUUUAAAGGACUACGGUGUCAUUUGUGACAAAGUGCCUCUUUGGUUUGACAAUGAAAGUGCCAUCAAGAUCUCUCUCAACCCGGUGCAACACUUCAAGACGAAGCAUAUUGAGAUCCAGUAUCACUUCAUCCGGGAUCACAUUAGGCGAGGAGAGAUCGAGCUCAACUAUGUCAACACUCAUGAUAACCUUGCAGAUAUCUUCAUGAAGCCCUUGGAUGAAGCAAGAUUUCGCGAGUUAAGGCAUGAGCUAAAUAUCAUUGAUUCGAGCAAUGUUGCUUGAACCCUUGCACACCCACCAUACUCAACAUGUUGUCUUGUUUAGAUGUAGGCAUGGACAUAGGGGGGGGGUGAUGUUCUCUCAAUGAACUCUCCCUCCCCCCAUUAUGCAUAAAUUGAUCAAGUCUUUCACAUUAGCCAUGUUUGAUGGUACUUGUGCUUCAAAGACGAGUUUUGGUCAUGGACCCAAGGAUAAUUCUUCGCGGUGCCAUACCAAUUGACUCAAACAUAGGUGGCUCCGGCCACCGUCCUCUCUUGGGGAGGUUGGAGUUAGCUUUUUGUUCUCGUGUUGUUUUCUCUCGUUCUUUCUUUGCUCUUUGCGUUGGGUUCUCCUAGGGUGUUGUUUCUCUCCUGUUUCGUGCUCUUUCUUCCCCUCCUCUAAUUGCACUCAUUUGAUCUUGGCUUGGGCAUAGGUGGUCGGGCGGUACAACCUGGAUCACGGGCGGUUCUACCGCUGGUACCUGGUUGUGCCGUCCCAAGGGGUCUCCGUUCGGUGCUUGGGCGGUUCCACCACUCAAACCCAUGGUAACCUACGUCCGGUACUACCGGUGGUCGCCGAGCGGUACUACCGCUGCCUUCCAAGCACCGGAAGUAUUGCCUCCAACCACCGGUCUGUACCAGACGAGCGGUACAACCGCUCCCCGGAGUGGUACUACCGGGGCGUGUCUACGGGCCUAUAUAUACUCGACGGGGCUGAAGGGUUUUCUUUUUCCCUUCGCCCUCGUUCCUCUUCUCUAUGCCCUAGCCGCCGGCCCUCUUUGCCCCUGCCCCGGAGUGCGUCUCGCACUUCGGAUCCUUGGGAUCUCCGUGGAUUCUCUCUGUGGAAGCCUCCCGAUCUCUUCCCAUGGAUGGUGGUAAUGCCUCGUGUUCUUUGCUCCUAGAUCUUUCUAGGGUUCUUCCUUUGUCUAGGGCAUUACUUAACUUUCCACGAUUAGUGUUUGAACUAUGGAGUAGAAGAGAUCUUUGUUUGCCUCUUGUCUUGUUUGCAACACUUAGAAUUCGGAAUAUUACUUGUGUGAUUAGUAUGCCUCGGUUAGAUCUAUCUCCCCUGGUAGUGCCACUGUCAGCGGUUCUACCGCCCCUACGGGCGGUACAACCGCUGGAGCGGUACUACCGGGGGAGGAACCGGUACAACCAGAGUAUAUCAACCACCCAACACUGUUCUAUCUUCUCUGUUGCCACAACAUGUUCCUUAGUGUGUGCAAUCCUCUCAUCCUUGCUGGGUUUUGUGUGCUCUUCUCGCGUGUGUGUUCAGGUGGCUCUAGUUCUCGCUCUGCUCCUUGCAAGACUAAGAAGAGGGCACGAAGGACCUUGCGCCCGGUUGUGUCUGAUGAUGAAGAAGAAGUUGUGAUUCCCACCAAGCCCACUCGCCGUGAAAAGUCUGCAGCUGCUAAGCAACGUGUGGUUAGGCCGUUGCAUCGUUGGAAAGCCAAGGAAUGGGAAGCCUUCCGAUCAAAGAAUCCGUAUGAGGUUCCCAUUGCUCCUCGUUGGACCACCGUUCAGUUCCGAAAUGAGAUGCAAGUGCGGAUUGUUCAUGAAUUCUUUGAGCACAACAAGAACAGAUAUGCCAAGCAGUGGACAAUUGAUCUUGACCAUUGGAGGAACAAUCUGGAGUAUUUUGGUGAGGCGCUGGCUCUCUGCGAGGAGUUUAAUCUUGUCAAGCUCAUGUCAGUCAACUGUGACUUUGAUGUUCAACUCAUCCAUCAGUUCUAUGCCACGGUUCAUUUUGGGGAAGAUGACGCACGCACUCUCACCUUCAUAUGUCGUGAUGGAUUGUUUCAAGUUCCCUGGAGGGCAUUCUGCAAUGCUAUUGGGUACGAGGAUACCUGUCUGGAAGGAAGGGGUGGCAUUCGUCCUCAUGACUUUCCUGAGUCCAUGCUUAAGGAGAAGCUUGCCCCUCUGUACAUUCGGGGCCGUGGGAUUAUUGGAGAAGGUCUAUGAUAUCAUGCACCGAGUGUUCCGCAAUGUGCUCUUGCCCAAGGUGGGCAAUCAAGAUGAGAUUCAUGGUUAUCUGGUUGAUUUGAUGGUUGCUAUGAAGACCAUGGUGGGGACAGGGACAACGUUUGAUGUGUCCAAUUGGAUGUGACAUGAGAUGUACAACAUGGUCAUCUACCAUAAAGUCCCAAUCUAUGCUCCGUUUGUCAUGUGCUUUCUGAACUCUGUGUGGGCUGUUCAUCGUCCUGGAGAGCUCCUCACUUCUCGAGACAACCUCACUAUUCACGAGGUCAAGCUCCUUAAGAAGAAGAAGCAUGCCGAGCCUCGCUUCCCUGCGAAUGCUCCUAAGGAUGUCUAUGCUACUUCAGACGAUGAGGACUUUGAGAUGGAGCCAGGGGCCAAGCCUUCAUGGGUGGCCAAGCUCACUGCCAAGGUGAAGAAGACCUUUUGUCUCGAGGCUGGCAUCCAGAAGAGGAUGUAUGAGGCACAUGUCAAUGAGAAGCUUGCACAACAUCGCCAAAUUGCAAUGAUGAAGCACCUCAACAUGCCGGUUCAGAGUGGCUCUGAGAAGAGCAUCACCCUGGAGGAGCGUUGGAUAUCUACCCAUAGCACCUGGACUGAUGAUGAAGCCCCUCCCCAGCCAUCCUCCUCGUUUGCAGCAGCUGACAAUGCCAUGGAAGAAUCCGAUCAUGACGACGAUGACGACUCUGAUGAUGAGGAUCCAGAUGCGACCGAGGAGUCAGAGGAGGCCGCCUGAGCUUUGGGACGCUAGCUUCAUCUUUUCCUUUUUGGUGUCUUGAUGCCAAAGGGGGAGAGGGUUCUAUAGGUCUCGGGGAUUUGCAUGGGUUUUUCUUUUUCUCGUUUUCUCGUGUUGGUCUUUGUUCAUGGACUUGUUUCGUUCCUUGCCGUGUGUGAGACUUGUUACUCCUGUUACCUUUCCGUUCAUCGGUCAUUAUCGUUAUUAUUGCACUCUAAGUAUUAUAUUGUCUCUCUUUUAUGCUCAGAGUGGCGAGUCUAUAAAAUCUAGGGGGAGUCUAGUCUUGAAAGUGUGCCCAUGCUUUCUAAUAGCUAGUUCCUAUUGGGGCACAUAUUCAGGGGGAGUUCCGUCUAGAUUUAAUUGACUUAUCUCUUGCAAAUCGUGUUGUUGUCAUCAUCCACCAAAAAGGGGGAGAUUGAAAGGGCAUUUCCCUACUUUAUGUUUUGGAUGAUGAUGACAACCCUUUGUUGGUCUAAUCGUGUGCUAUAUGUUUCAGGUUCUCGAUGCUUAGGCUUACAUCGGAUUGCUAUUGCCUCUCGUAGGAAAAGAUCGAAGACAUGUCCUCUACGCUUUUAUUUUCUUUGGUCGUAGAGUACCCGUACUAUCAAGAGGGAAUCCUCAUUAGGAAGCUCCGGGGGAAUCUUUUCACAUACACUUUCCUCACCCCUCAUUUGUCUUCCUCAGUUGUGUGAGAGAGUGUUCCCCCUAUCUUUCCCUCUAUUUUCUGCUCUUCCCAGCGGUUGUACCGCCCCCUGGAGCGGUUGUACCGCUGGACCUUGUCGCUCUCCAGCUUUUAUCGAGCGGUUGUACCGCUGCCUCCGGGCGGUGGUACCGCCACCUUGCUCAACAAAGGCUAGGGCGGUGGUUCCGGCCAUGCACCGCUCAAGUACCGCUCAAGGUUCUGUUUUGAUGCGGUUCUCGGGCGGUGGUGGCCUGGUUGAUCCGGUCGAUCCUUGUUGACCAGUACCACCGGUGGUCUGAGCGGUUCUUCCGCUCAGAACUUCGCCGACCAAGAGCUCAAGGCCAUGCGGUUGUUCCGGUCUUGCACCGCUCAAACCGAUCUCGUUUCUAUUCUGAGGCGGUAGUUGUGCGGUGGCUGGGCGGUUGGUCCGGUCAUUUUUCUUAACCGGUACUACCGCCCAGUGGCCCGGUUGUACAGCCUGGUAGGGUUCUGCAGCUACACCGUGAGUCCCGGUUGUACCGGGACAAGGACCGAUUGUACUGCUGCAGGGCUGAAAACGCAGCAACGGCUGGAUUUUUAGGGUUGCUAUAUAAGAGUGUUUCUCCCACCUACCACUCACCUUUGACCUCUCUCACUCCACCAUUAAUGCAGUUCAAGCUCUCUUGCCCGAUCUCUCUCUCUAGCCACUCAAACUUGUUGAUUUGCUAGGGAUUGAAGGAGGAGACCUAGAUCUACACUUCCACCAAAGGAUAUUUGCUUCCCCCAUACUUUCUUGUGUGGAUUUUGUUACUCUUGGGUGUUUGAGCACCCUAGACGGUUGAGGUCACCUCGGAGCCAUAUUCCAUUGUGGUGAAGCUUCGUGGUUUCGCUGGGAGCCUCCAAUUAAGUUGUGGAGAGAGCCCCAACCUUGUUUGUAAAGGUUCGGUCGCCGCCUUCAAGGGCACCAAUAGUGGAAUCACGGCAUCUCGCAUUGUGUGAGGGCGUGAUGAGAAUACGGUGGCCCUAGUGGCUUCUUGGGGAGCAUUGUGCCUCCACACCGCUCCAAUGGAGACGUACUUCCUCUCAAAGGGAAGGAACUUCGGCAACACAUCCUCGUCUCCACCGUCUCCACUCUUGGUUAUCUCGUGCCUUUACUUGUGCAAGCUUAUUUGUAUCAUAUCACUUGCUUGCUUGUGUUCCUAUCCUUGUUGCAUCAUAUAGGUUGUUCACCUAGUUGCAUAUCUAGACAACCUACUUUGAUGCAAAGUUUAAAUUGUUAAAGAAAAGCUAAAAAUUGUUAGUUGCCUAUUCACCCCCCUCUAGUCAACCAUAUCGAUCCUUUCAAAGUGCUUCUACUACAACGGGACUGGUCACUGGAAGCGGAACUGCCCCAAGUAUUUGGCGGAUAAGAAGGAUGGCAAAGUGAACAAUGCUAUAUUUGAUAUACAUGUCAUUGAUGUGUAUUUUACUAGUGUUUAUAGCAAACCCUCGGUAUUUGAUACUGGUUCAGUUGCUAAGAGUAGUAACUCGAAACGGGAGUUGCAGAAUGAAUAGAGACUAGUUAAGGGUGAAGUGAUGAUGUGUGUUGGAAGUGGUUCCAAGAUUGAUAUGAUCAUCAUCGCACACUCCCUAUACUUUCGGGAUUAGUGUUAAACCUAAAUAAAUGUUAUUUGGUGUUUGCAUUGAGCAUGAAUAUGAUUUGAUCAUGUUUAUUGCAAAACGGUUAUUCAUUUAAGUUAGAGAAUAAUUGUUGUUCUGUUUACAUGAAUAAAACCUUCUAUGGUCAUACACCCAAUGAAAAUGGUUCGUUGGAUCUCGAUCGUAGUGAUACACAUAUUCAUAAUAUUGAAGCCAAAAGAUGCAAAGUUAAUAGUGAUAGUGCAACUUAUUUGUGGCAUUUCCAUUUCAGGUCAUAUUGGUGUAAAGCGCAUGAAGAAACUCCAUGCUGAUGGACUUUUGUAAUCACUUGAUUAUGAAUCAUUUUGAUGCUUGCGAACCAUGCCUCAUGGGCAAGAUGACUAAGACUCCGUUCUCCAGAACAAUGGAGCGAGCAACUGACUUAUUGGAAAUAAUACAUACUGAUGUAUGCAGUCCGAUGAGUGUUGAGGCUCGCAGCGGGUAUCGUUAUUUUCUGACCUUCACAGAUGAUUUGAGCAGAUAUGGGUAUAUCUACUUGAUGAAACAUAAGUCUGAAACAUUUGAAAAGUUCAAAGAACUUCAACGUGAAGUGGAAAAUCAUCGUGACAAGAAAAUAAAGUUUCUACGAUCUGAUCGCAGAGACAAAUAUUUGAGUUACGAGUUUGGUCUUCAAUUUAAACAAUGUGGAAUAGUUUCACAAAAUCGUGCCACCUGGAACACCACAACAUAAUGGUGUGUUUGAACGUCAUAACCGUACUAUUAUUGGAUAUAGUGCAAUCUAUGAUGUUUCUUACCGAUUAACCACUAUAGUUUUGGGGUUAUGCAUUAGAGACAGCUGCAUUCAUGAGGGCACCAUCUAAAUCCGUUGAGAUGACACCGUAUGAACUGUGGUUUGGCAAGAAACCAAAGUUGUCGUUUCUUAAAGUUUGGGGUUGCGAUGCUUAUAAGAAAAGGUUUCAUCCUGAUAAGCUCAAACCCAAAUCAGAGAAAUGUGUCUUCAUAGGAUACCCAAAGGAGACAGUUGGGUACACCUUCUAUCACAGAUCCGAAGGCAAGACAUUCAUUGCUGAGAAUGGAUCCUUUCUAGAGAAGGAGUUUCUCUCGAAAGAAGUGAGUGGGAGGAAAGUAGAACUUGAUGAGGUAACUGUACCUGCUCCCUUAUUGGAAAGUAGAUCAUUACAAAAAUCUGUUUCUGUGACUCCUACACCAAUUAGUGAGGAAGCUAAUGAUGAUGAUCAUGUAACUUCAGAUCAAGUUACUACCAAACCUCGUAGGUCAACUGGAGUGAGAUCCGCACUAGAGUGUUACGGUAAUCUUGUUCUGGAGGUCAUGUUAAUUGACCAUGACAAACCUACGAACUAUAGGAAGCGAUGAUGAGCCCAGAUUCCACGAAAUGGCUUGAGGCCAUGAAAUCUGAGAUUGGAUCCAUGUAUGAGAACAAAGUAUGGACUUUGAUUGACUUGCCCAAUGAUCGGUGAGUCAUUAAGAAUAAAUGCAUCUUCAAGAGGAAGACAGAUGCUGAUAGUAGUGUUACUAUCUACAAAGCUCGAAUUGUCACAAAGUGUUUUCGACAAGUUCAAUGUGUUGACUACGAUGAGAUUUUCUCACUCGUAUCGAUGCUUAAAAGUAUGUCCGAAUCAUGUUAGCAGUUGCCGCAUUUUAUGAAUUCUGGCAAAUGCAUGUCAAAACUAUAUUCCUUCAUGGAUUUCUUAAAAAGAAGAGUUGUAUAUGAUGCAACCAGAAGGUUUUGUCGACCCUAAAGGUGCUAACAAAGUGAGCAAGCUCCAGCGAUCCAUCUAUGGACUGGUGGAAGCAUCUCGGAGUUGGAAUAUAUGCUUUGAUAAAGUGAUCAAAGUAUAUGGUUUUAUACAGACUCGCGGUGAAGCCUGUAUUUACAAGAAAGUGAGUGGGAGCACUACAACAUUUCCAAUAAGUAUAUGUGAAUGACAUAUUGUUGAUCGGAAAGAAUGUAGAAUUUUCUGGAAAGCAUAAAGGAGUAUUUGAAAGGAGUUUUUCAAAGAAAGACCUCGAUGAAGCUGCUUACACAUUGAGUAUCAAGAUCUAUAGAGAUAGAUCAAGACGCUUGAUAAGUUAUUUCAAUGAGUACAUACCUUGACAAGAUUUUGAAGUAGUUCAAAAUGGAACAGUUAAAGAAGGAGUUCUUGCCUGUGUUGCAAGGUGUGAAGUUGAGUAAAGACUCACCCGACCACAACAGAAAAUAGAAAGAGAAUGACAAGUCAUUCCCUAUGCCUUAGUCAUAGGUUCUAUAAAGUAUGCUAUGCUGUUUACCAGUCCUAUUGUAUACCUUAGCAUCUUUCUGGCAAGGGAGUACAAUAGUGAUCUAAGAGUAGAUCACUGUACAUCGGUCAAAAUUAUCCUUAGAGGACUAAGGAAAUAUUUCUCGGUUAUGGUGGUGAUAAAAGAGUUCGUAGUAAAGAGUUACGUCAAUGCAAAGCUUUUUACAUCGAUCUAAGAUGACUCUAAGUCUCAAUCUGGAUACAUAUUGAAAGUGGGUGCAAUUAGCUAGAGUAGCUCCGUGCAGAGCAUUGUAGACAUAGAAAUUUGCGAAAUACAUACGGAUCUGAAUGUUGCAGCCCCGUAGACUAAACUUCUCUCACAAGCAAAACAUGAUCACUCUUUGGGUGUUAAUCACAUAGCGAUGUGAACUAGAUUAUAAAAUCUAGUAAACCCUUUGGGUAUUAGUCACAUGGAGAUGUGAACUAAUCAGAUACAGAUGUGAACUAGAUUAUUGACUCUAGUGCAAGUUGGAGACUGAAGGAAAUAUGACCUAGAGGCAAUAAUAAACUUAUUAUUUAUUUCCUUAUAUCAUGAUAAAUGUUUAUUAUUCAUGGUAGAAUUGUAUUAACUGGAAACAUGAUACAUGUGUGAAUACAUAGACAAACAGAGUGUCACUAGUAUGCCUCUAUUUGACUAGCUCGUUGAUCAAAGAUGGUUAUGUUUCCUAGCCAUAGACAAAGAGUUGUCAUUUGAUUAACGGGAUCACAUCAUUAGGAGAAUGAUGUGAUUGACUUGACCCAUUCCAUUAGCUUAGCACUUGAUCGUUUAGUUUGUUGCUAUUGCUUUCUUCAUGACUUAUACAUGUUCCUAUGACUAUGAGAUUAUGCAACUCCCGUUUACCGGAGGAACACUUUGUGUGCUACCAAACGUCACAACGUAACUGGGUGAUUAUAAAGGUGCUCUAGAGGUGUCUCCGAAGGUACUUGUUGGGUUGGCGUAUUUCGAGAUUAGGAUUUGUCACUCCGAUCGUAAUGAGUUAGUUGCGGGAUGAUGUAUUACGGAACGAGUAAAGAGACUUGCCGGUAACGAGAUUGAACUAGAUAUUGAGAUACCGACGAUCAAAUCUCGGGCAAGUAACAUACCGAUGACAAAGGGAACAAACGUAUGUUGUUAUGGGGUUUGACCGAUAAAGAUCUUCGUAGAAUAUGUAGGAGCCAAUAUGAGCAUCUAGGUUCCGUUAUUGGUUAUUAACUCGAGACAUGUCUCGGUCAUGUCUACAUAGUUCUCGAACCCGUAGGGUCCGCACGCUUAAAGUUCGAUGGUGGUUAUGUUAUGAGUUUAUGUGUUUUGAUGUACCAAAGGUAGUUCAAAGUCCCGGAUGAGAUCGGGGACAUGAUGAGGAGUCUCGAAAUGAUCGAGACGUAAAGAUCGAUAUAUUGGACGACUAUAUUCGGGCAUCGGAAAGGUUCCGAGUGAUUCGGGUAUUUUCGGAGUACCGGGGAGUUACGGGAAUUCACCGGGAGAAGUAUUGGGCCUUAUUGGGCCAUACGGGAAUAGAGGAGAGACGCCAAAAGGAAGGAGGCGCACCCCCCCUCUGGUCCGAAUUAGACAAGGGGUGCAGCCCCUUUUUCCUUCUCCCUCUCCCUCUCUUUCCUUCUCUCCUACUCCGGAAAGGAAAGGGGAAUCCUACUAGGAGUUGGGAGUCCUAGUAGAACUCCCCACACUUGGCGCGCCCCCUCUAGGGCCGGCCUCUCCCUCCCUCCUUUAUAUACGUGGCCAGGGGGCACCCCAUAGACACAACAAUUGAUCUCUUGGAUCUCUUAGCCGUGUGCGGUGCCCCCCUCCACCAUAGUCCACCUCGAUAAUAUCGUAGCGGUGCUUAAGCGAAGCCCUGCGUCGGUAGAACAUCAUCAUCGUCACCAUAGCGUCGUGCUAACGGAACUCUCCCUCAAAGCUCGACUGGAUCAGAGUUCAAGGGACGUCAUCGAGCUAAACGUGUGCUGAACUCGGAGGUGUCGUACGUUCGGUACUUGAUCGGUCGGAUCGUGAAGACGUACGACUACAUCAACCGCGUUGUGCUAACGCUUCCGCUUUCGGUCUAUGAGGGUACGUGGACACACUCUCCCCUCUCGUUGCUAUGCAUCACCAUGAUCUUGCGUGUGCGUAGGAUUUUUUUUGAAAUUACUACGUUCCCCAACAAGUACUACUUAGAAAGUGUUUAAUAUAAUUAGUUAGAAAAAUAAUAGAACUUGUUAGACUAGUUUAUUUUUAGUAAGUACUACUUUAUUUUAUUUAUAGUAAGUGCUUAGUAGUUGAACUAGUUGAUUUAAUAAAACUACUUUAUUUUACUAUAUAUAGAAGUAGUUUAUUUUUAGUAAGUACUACUUUAUUUUAUUUAUAAUAAGUGCUAAGUAGUUGAACUAGUUGAUUUAGUAAAACUACUUUAUUUUACUAUAGAAGUAGUUUAUUUUUAGUAAGUACUACUUUAUUUUAUUUAUAGUAAGUGCUUAGUAGUUGAAUUAGUUGAUUUAAUAAAACUACUUUAUUUUACUAUAGAAGUUGUUUAUUUUUAGCAAUAAAAUUAAUAGAACUAGUUUAUUUUUUAGUUCAAGCAAUUACUCCCGCAUCGACGUCAACGAUGCCUAUCCCACAUCCUCGUCGUCGACUCGGCGGAGGAGGCCGGCUUGAUCAGAGUGGCCAUGUCCGGGACUGGGCUCCGCCGGGCUGGUAUUGGGAGGUGCUACCUUCCGGGGGCGUAGGUUGGUGAGGAGCCAGCCCGUCGUUGACCCGAUCCUUGUUUGGUGGUGGUCGCGUGGGCUAGUGACGGUGCCGAGGCUUUUGGACACCGCGGAGGUGGUACGUCACCGUGUCAGCGAGGAGGACGAGCACGUCCGUCGCUACAUGGUUGCGUUGGAGGGCAGGUUCGACAAUACCUGGCAGGUUCUUCAGGGAUCUCACUGGAGCUAUGAUCCUGUGAUGGUUCCUUCUCUUUGGGUGUCCACCGCCUGCGCCGAUACCCGUCGGGCGCUACGGUUCUAGCUAGCUGUAUUAUCGAUGCUAUAUGUAUGAUAGUAUUCGAGGUGUAUUAGUGAUAAUAUUCGACGAUGUAUGGACGCAAGAGAUGAUGUAGUUUUGCUUAUAAUUGAAUGCAUGCUAAUUUGAAUACUUCUUUAUUUUAAGAUUUGGUUUUGCUUAUUGAAUGCUCAAAUUGGAAAAGCACUCCUACUUUCAAUGCUAAAAUUGCAGAGCACUAUGCAAGGUGUAUGCAUUUGAUUAGUUGAUAGCUUAUAGGGUUUUUGUUUUUGCAGAAAUCUAGGAGCCCCUCCAUCAUCCCCGCACUUGAACAACUGUUGGCUGAGUCAUGGUGCCACCAUAUCAAACUUAGCAGUGCAACCACGCUUACCUUUAUGGGAAGGUCCUAACUGGGUCUAUUGUCGUGCCUCUCACUGGUGCCUCCAACGAGGGAAGGUUAUGGACGCGCACUACCCUGAUCAGGUAGGCGGACAUAAGCCUUGUGUGCCCGUUGUUGUUGUUAUGGAUCCGGGUCCCCGUGUGGGACCGUUUAGUUUUGGCCACGACGGUGGUCCUUGUGUCUUUGGUAGACACGGGGCCACCCAGGACUAGCCCAGUGGGGAGUGAGUCGGAGUGGUCGGGAGAGUGUCAUGGCAGUAGAUCGGUUUUGUUGGAACGCCGUUGGUCCACCCGAAUGGGAGUGCGAGGCCAUGGAUUCCGUAGUGUGGGUACAGUGUACUAACCUCUGCAGAGUGUAUAUUAAAUCUAUCGAUAGCCGUGCCCGCGGAUAAGGGCCCAGUUCGUGUCAGUCACACUAUGAGUCAACAGUAAUAAUAAUAAUGUGCUUAAUAACAACCAUGGUUCGAUGAUGAGAUAAGAUGGUUGUGAUCGCCGGAAGGAUCGCCGUUUGAGUGCAGGUAUUGGUCAUGGUUGUGAUCGCCGGAAGGAUCACCGUUUGAGGCCAGGUAUUGGUCAUGGUUGUGAUUGCCGGAACCACUGUUUGAGACCAAGUGUUGGUCAUGGUUGUGAUCGCCAGAAGGAUCACCAUUUGGUUACGAGGUAACCCGAGCAGAAUAAAUGGUGCAUAUAGUGUCAUCAUGUUGCAUGCUAGUAUCGUUAGAUUUAUAUGUUCAUGCCAUGUUCAUAUUGUUCUAGCUGUAUCAUGUUCAUGUUGUUUAUGCCAUGUUAUCCUGAUGAUCUCAUGAUAAUUCCUGCUUAACCUAUAAUUGCAAUGUUGUUGUUUGUCUUGAAUGCUUCUGGUUAUUGUGAGCUUGCAAGUACAUUCAAUGUACUGACCUGGCGUGUCAUGCCAGUUUGCAGGUCAUGCCGGAUUUGAUUGCUUGCUUGUCGUGGUUUCCGUUCGUGCGAGCUAGGAUCAGCGUUCCAGCCAAAGUCCCUGCGGAGUGGAGUUCACCACCGUCGUCGUUGUUCCGCUGCUAGAAGUUUUUUCGCUGCUUCAAGUUGUUCUACUGCUUGCAUAGAGCAACUGAGGAAGGCAUAGUGUCGUCGUGCCGAUGUUAUUCCUUGUAAUAUCGGAGACCUUAUAUUCAUAUUCGUGUAAUAAUAGAAAGCUAGUUUGUUCUAUGCUAAGUGUGACGCCCCCGAUACAAUCAUACACUAAUCAUACACGCAAAUGUGUACGAUCAAGAUCAAGGACUCACGGGAAGAUAUCACAACACAACUCUAGACACAAAUAAAAUAAUAGAAGCUUUAUAUUACAAGCCAGGGGCCUCGAAGGCUCGAAUACAAAUGCUCAAAGACACAAGAGUCAGCGGAAGCAAUAAUAUCUGAGUACAGACAUAAGUUAAACAAGAUUGCCUUAAGAAGGCUAGCACAAAUUAGCAACGAUCGAAAAGGCAAGGCCUCCUGCCUGGGACCUCCUAACUACUCCUCGAAGCCGAACUCCACGUAGAAACUUCCUCGGGGUCCUAUGGCUCCUGGACUUCAUCAUCCGGUUGCGACAUCCNNNNNNNNNNNNNNNNNNNNNNNNNNNNNNNNNNNNNNNNNNNNNNNNNNNNNNNNNNNNNNNNNNNNNNNNNNNNNNNNNNNNNNNNNNNNNNNNNNNNNNNNNNNNNNNNNNNNNNNNNNNNNNNNNNNNNNNNNNNNNNNNNNNNNNNNNNNNNNNNNNNNNNNNNNNNNNNNNNNNNNNNNNNNNNNNNNNNNNNNNNNNNNNNNNNNNNNNNNNNNNNNNNNNNNNNNNNNNNNNNNNNNNNNNNNNNNNNNNNNNNNNNGGGAGCAAAGCAACCGUGAGUAUUCAUCCAAAGUACCCGCAAGCAAGGAUCUACACUAUAUAUGCAUUGAUAUCAAUGAAAUGGUUAGUAUGUGUGGAUUGAACUGCAGAAUGCCAGAAUAAGAGGGGGAUAGCUAGUCCAACCGAAGAUUGCGCUUCUGGUAACCUCCAUCUUGAAGCAUGUAGAAGAGAGUAGCUGGUAAGUUCACCAAGUAACACGUAUAGCAUAAUCCUACCCGGCGAUCUUCCCCUCGUCGCCCUGUGAGAGAGCGAUCACCGGGUUGUAUCUGGCACUUGGAAGGGUGUGUUUUAUUAAGUAUCCGGUUCUAGUUGUCAUAGUCAAGGUACAACUCUGGGUCGUCCUUUUACCGAGGGACACGACUAUUCGAAUAGAUAAACUUCCCUGCAGGGGUGCACCACAUUUCCCAACACGCUCGAUCCCCUUUGGUCGGACACACUUUCCUGGGUCAAUGCCCGGCCUCGGAAGAUCAACACGUCGCAGUCCCACCUAGGCACAACAGAGAGGUCAGCACGCCG
rnacentral:lncRNA from 1 species